rnacentral:rRNA from 1 species
CAGCAGUAGCCACGGGAAUACGGGGGGUGCAAGCGUUAUUCGGAUUGAUUGGGUGUAAAGGGUGUGCAGACGGCUUAUUAAGUCACUUGUUAAAUUCUUCGGCCUAACUGAAGGUCUGCAAGUGAUACUGAUGAGCUAGAGGGUGGAAGAGAGAAGUGGAAUUCUCGGAGUAGCGGUAAAAUGCGUAGAUCUCGAGAGGAACACCAAUGGCGAAGGCAGCUUCUUGGUCCAUUCCUGACGUUCAUACACGAAAGCGUGGGGAGCAAACAGGAUUAGAUACCCCGGUAGUCCCUGUCUCUUAUAC